rnacentral:pre_miRNA from 1 species
UGAUGAUGAUGAUGAUGAUGAUGAUGGUGAUGAUGAUGAUGAUGGUGAUGAUGAUGAUCAUCAUCAUCAUCACCAUCAUUAUGAUUUAAUAAA